GUGGGGAAUUUUUCGCAAUGGGGGAAACCCUGACGAAGCAACGCCGCGUGGAGGAUGAAGGCCUUCGGGUCGUAAACUCCUGUCGACCGGGACGAACGUAGCGGGGGCUAAUAUCCCCUGCUAUCGACUGUACCGGUGGAGGAAGCCACGGCUAACUCUGUGCCAGCAGCCGCGGUAAUACAGAGGUGGCAAGCGUUGUUCGGAAUUACUGGGCGUAAAGGGCGCGUAGGCGGCCUUGUAAGUCCUGUGUGAAAUCCCCCGGCUCAACUGGGGAACUGCACAGGAGACUGCUUGGCUUGAGUUCGGGAGAGGGAAGCGGAAUUCCGGGUGUAGCGGUGAAAUGCGUAGAUAUCCGGAGGAACACCGGUGGCGAAGGCGGCUUCCUGGACCGACACUGACGCUGAGGCGCGAAAGCCAGGGGAGCAAACGGGAUUAGAAACCCGAGUAGUCC
rnacentral:rRNA from 1 species